GACGAACGCUGGCGGCGUGCUUAACACAUGCGAGUCGAACGGAAAGGCCCUGCUUUUGUGGGGUGCUCGAGUGGCGAACGGGUGAGUAACACGUGAGUAACCUGCCCUUGACUUUGGGAUAACUUCAGGAAACUGGGGCUAAUACCGGAUAGGAGCUCCUGCUGCAUGGUGGGGGUUGGAAAGUUUCGGCGGUUGGGGAUGGACUCGCGGCUUAUCAGCUUGUUGGUGGGGUAGUGGCUUACCAAGGCUUUGACGGGUAGCCGGCCUGAGAGGGUGACCGGCCACAUUGGGAAUGAGAUACGGCCCAGACUCCUACGGGAGGCAGCAGUGGGGAAUAUUGCACAAUGGGCGGAAGCCUGAUGCAGCAACGCCGCGUGCGGGAUGACGGCCUUCGGGUUGUAAACCGCUUUCGCCUGUGACGAAGCGUGAGUGACGGUAAUGGGUAAAGAAGCACCGGCUAACUACGUG
rnacentral:rRNA from 1 species